rnacentral:rRNA from 1 species
UAGGGAAUCUUCCACAAUGGACGCAAGUCUGAUGGAGCAACGCCGCGUGAGUGAAGAAGGUUUUCGGACCGUAAAGCUCUGUUGUUGGUGAAGAAGGAUAGAGGUAGUAACUGGCCUUUAUUUGACGGUAAUCAACCAGAAAGUCACGGCUAACUACGUGCCAGCAGCCGCGGUAAUACGUAGGUGGCAAGCGUUGUCCGGAUUUAUUGGGCGUAAAGCGAGCGCAGGCGGAAGAAUAAGUCUGAUGUGAAAGCCCUCGGCUUAACCGAGGAAUUGCAUCGGAAACUGUUUUUCUUGAGUGCAGAAGAGGAGAGUAGAACUCCAUGUGUAGCGGUGGAAUGCGUAGAUAUAUGGAAGAAUACCAGUGGCGAAGGCGGCUCUCUGGUCUGCAACUGACGCUGAGGCUCGAAAGCAUGGGUAGCGAACAGGAUUAGAUACCCUGGUAGUCCAUGCCGUAAACGAUGAGUGCUAAGUGUUGGGAGGCUUCCGCCUCUCAGUGCUGCAGCUAACGCAUUAAGCACUCCGGCC